rnacentral:sRNA from 1 species
GCCGGGCAUGGUAGUGCACGCCUUUAAUCCCAGCACUUGGGAGGCAGAGGCAGGUGGAUCCCUGUGAGUUCAAGGCAAACCUGGUCUACAUAGUGAGUUCCAGGACAGCUGGGGCUACAGGGAGACCCUGUCUCAAAAAGACAAAAAAAAAAAACCAAAAACUUGUUUUUUUGUCUCCCUGUACCCCCAGCUGGCCUGGAACUCACUAUGCAGAUCAGGCUGGCCUCAAACUCAGAGAUCUGCCUGCCUCU